rnacentral:rRNA from 1 species
GAUGAACGCUGGCGGCGUGCCUAAUACAUGCAAGUCGAGCGAACAGAUAAGGAGCUUGCUCCUUUGACGUUAGCGGCGGACGGGUGAGUAACACGUGGGUAACCUACCUAUAAGACUGGGAUAACUUCGGGAAACCGGAGCUAAUACCGGAUAACAUUUGGAACCGCAUGGUUCUAAAGUGAAAGAUGGUUUUGCUAUCACUUAUAGAUGGACCCGCGCCGUAUUAGCUAGUUGGUAAGGUAACGGCUUACCAAGGCAACGAUACGUAGCCGACCUGAGAGGGUGAUCGGCCACACUGGAACUGAGACACGGUCCAGACUCCUACGGGAGGCAGCAGUAGGGAAUCUUCCGCAAUGGGCGAAAGCCUGACGGAGCAACGCCGCGUGAGUGAUGAAGGGUUUCGGCUCGUAAAACUCUGCUAUUAGGGAAGAACAAAUGUGUAAGUAACUGUGCACGUCUUGACGGUACCUAAUCAGAAAGCCACGGCUAACUACGUG